CCCACUUCUCGGCCUUUUGGCUAAGAUCAAGUGUAGUAUCCUAUUCCUUUUACAUUCUUGCUGUUAUUCUUAGCAAGCCUUUAUUUUUAUACACAUUAAGUUCAGUGAGAGAGAGUGUGAGCUGUUGCACUAGUUAAAGGCACUAGGCUAGAAACU
rnacentral:snRNA from 1 species